rnacentral:rRNA from 1 species
UACGGAGGAUGCAAGCGUUAUCCGGAAUGAUUGGGCGUAAAGCGUCCGCAGGUGGCUAUGUAAGUCUGCUGUUAAAGAGUCUAGCUCAACUAGAUACAAGCAGUGGAAACUACAAGGCUAGAGUACGUUCGGGGCAGAGGGAAUUCCUGGUGUAGCGGUGAAAUGCGUAGAGAUCAGGAAGAACACCGGUGGCGAAGGCGCUCUGCUAGGCCGUAACUGACACUGAGGGACGAAAGCUAGGGGAGCGAAUGGG